AUACAGAGGGUGCGAGCGUUAAUCGGAAUUACUGGGCGUAAAGCGCGCGUAGGCGGCUUAUUAAGUCAGAUGUGAAAUCCCCGGGCUCAACCUGGGAACUGCAUCUAAUACUGGUAAGCUAGAGUUUGGGAGAGGGAGGUAGAAUUUCAGGUGUAGCGGUGAAAUGCAUAGAGAUCUGAAGGAAUACCAGUGGCGAAGGCGACUUCCUGGCCUAAAACUGACGCUGAGGUGCGAAAGCGUGGGUAGCAAACGGGAUUAGAAACCCCAGUAGUCC
rnacentral:rRNA from 1 species